ACUUAAAUUGAAGAGUUUGAUCAUGGCUCAGAUUGAACGCUGGCGGCAGGCCUAACACAUGCAAGUCGAGCGGUARCACAGGAGAGCUUGCUCUCCGGGUGACGAGCGGCGGACGGGUGAGUAAUGUCUGGGAAACUGCCUGAUGGAGGGGGAUAACUACUGGAAACGGUAGC
rnacentral:rRNA from 1 species